rnacentral:rRNA from 1 species
UACAGGGGGGGCAAGCGUUGUUCGGAAUUACUGGGCGUAAAGGGUCUGUAGGUGGCUUGCUAAGUCAGACGUGAAAUCCCUCAGCUUAACUGGGGAACUGCGUCUGAUACUGGCGAGCUUGAGUGCAGGAGAGGAACGCGGAAUUCCAGGUGUAGCGGUGAAAUGCCUAGAUAUCUGGAGGAACACCGGUGGCGAAGGCGGCGUUCUGGACUGCAACUGACACUGAGAGACGAAAGCCAGGGGAGCAAACGGG